rnacentral:rRNA from 1 species
AUUGAACGCUGGCGGCAGGCUUAACACAUGCAAGUCGAGCGGGGUGAUGGUGCUUGCACUAUCACUUAGCGGCGGACGGGUGAGUAAUGCUUAGGAAUCUGCCUAUUAGUGGGGACAACAUCUCGAAAGGGAUGCUAAUACCGCAUACGUCCUACGGGAGAAAGCAGGGGAUCACUUGUGACCUUGCGCUAAUAGAUGAGCCUAAGUCGGAUUAGCUAGUUGGUGGGGUAAAGGCCUACCAAGGCGACGAUCUGUAGCGGGUCUGAGAGGAUGAUCCGCCACACUGGGACUGAGACACGGCCCAGACUCCUACGGGAGGCAGCAGUGGGGAAUAUUGGACAAUGGGGGGAACCCUGAUCCAGCCAUGCCGCGUGUGUGAAGAGGGCCUUAUGGUUGUAAAGCACUUUAAGCGAGGAGGAGGCUCUUUUGGUUAAUACCCAAGAUGAGUGGACGUUACUCGCAGAAUAAGCACCGGCUAACUCUGUGCCAGCAGCCGCCGUAA